ACACCAGGCUCUAUUUUCCCU
rnacentral:siRNA from 1 species